CUACUGGGGUUUCUAAUCCUGUUUGCUCCCCACGCUUUCGCACCUCAGCGUCAGUAUCGGACCAGUUAGUCGCCUUCGCCACUGGUGUUCCUGCGAAUAUCUACGAAUUUCACCUCUACACUCGCAAUUCCACUAACCUCUUCCGAACUCAAGAUACCCAGUAUCAGAGGCAGUUCCGGGGUUGAGCCCCGGGAUUUCACCCCUGACUUAAAUAUCCGCCUACGUGCGCUUUACGCCCAGUAAUUCCGAACAACGCUAGCCCCCUUCGUAUUACCGCGGCUGCUGGCAC
rnacentral:rRNA from 1 species